CUUGCCGAGCACACUUUUGCAACAAAAUUGCGACAAGUUUGCGGUAAACUUCGCGCAAAGUUUACGUCAUUUUGCUAGCUGGGUAUGUUUACAUGUAAGCGUGGGUUUAUGAGUAUCUAUGAAUAUCUAAAAGCCUAAAAAUUAUUUUUUAUUAUUACAUGCAACAUUUUUUAAUUUUUUGAAUUUAUCAACAAAAAUAAUUUUUUACAUUAUGAUUGAUAUAUGACUUUUAAUGCAUUAACAGAUAGAUAUAUAAAUUCUUGCUUGCAUGCCGUAAAUGUUAAUUUGAGAAAAAUGUAAUAUCAGUGACGUUUCUUCUCUACCUAGUGUAUACAAUGAUACUGUGAUACGAGGUACAUUAUAUUCAUUAAAUAUACCUGUCAUAAUUACCUUAAAUAAAUUAAAAUGAUUCUUUUAUACUAAAUGCAUUAUAUUUCAACAAACAAUAUUCUUUCCUUUUAUACUUGGUCAUUAUUGCGAUUAACUGUAGUGAUUUAAUAUCUAGACAGAUAAUAAUUUAAUAAAUAAUAUUUUUUUCAUUUUAUUAAAAUAUUUUUUUUAUUGCAGUAUUUGAAGAAUUUUAUCUAUUGCUCAUAAAAUAAUUUUAUAUUUUAUAUAUUAAUUUUUAUACUUUGAUAGAGAUAAUAGAGAUAUUAAUUCUUGCUUAGAAGCAAUAAACAAUAAUUUGACUAAUUUAGAAACAAUUUUAAAGCUAUUUCAUCCGUAUUAAAUAUAGAUAAUAAUCUAUUUCUAGUAUACAGUGUUUUUAAUAAACUAUUUAAAUAGCAUUAUUUUUCAUAAAAAUUUGAAUUAAAAAGUAUAAAGCGAAAAUGUUGAGAUUUCAAUAAUUCGAGAUACAAAUGAUCAAAGAAAUAAGGCUUUUUAUUGAAUUAUGCUUUAAAGAAUCACAAAUGAAUAAACAAAUUAUUUUUUCGAUUAAUUUAGAAUAAAUUUUUGUAUAACAGAAUUUUAAUUUAGAGUUUAGCUAUAAGUAUUUCUUAAAAGGUCACCAUAAAUAAUUCUCUUUCGAUAGAAUAAUUCUUUCGAUAAAAUAAUUCAAAAAUUUUUUUAUUUAAUUUUUCAUAAGAAAUAACGUGUAAAUAAUGAAUGUUAAUUGACCUAUACAUGUAUAUUCUAGAAUAUAUUUUUAUAAUCUUUUAUAUUUUCAAUAUUCUAUCUAACAGUUUUUUUACAUUUUUUAUAUCAAUAUAUAUUAUAUUUAGGCAAAGAAGUUUUUGCUUUUUAUAUUUCUAUUUAUAUAUUAAUGUAUGACAUUUGUAUGUAUGACAUCUGCACGUAUGACUAAUGUAUAACUGUCUUAUAUUUCCAAAUAAUAACAUUAUAGUAUUAGGAAAUGAUGAAGAAUGUCACAACCGAAUACUGCCUUAGACAUGAUAGACACACAAUAAUGAUUUACGCUUAUAUAUGACUGAUAACUGUAAUAAUAUUACAGAAAAAAUUACUCUUAAUGCUCCAUAGACAAUAUUGACAAAUAAUCAUGUAUUAAAUUGUAUGGGACUUUUAUUUUUUUAUUUAUUUUUUCUGUUCUGUAAAUCUUCAAAAAAUUUUUUUUUCUUUCUCGUGUACAUAUAUAUUGAGAUGCAUACAUGAACAGUUCUUUCAUUUCUUGUAUUCUUGAUACAUUUGUUAUUACAGGUGAUAGUGACAUAAACACCAUAGUCGCAUUUGGCAUUGCUUAACUUCUGCAAUUAGAAAAACGAUCACCCAUCCAACUACUGUGAACCACUAUCGACGUUGUUUUACCUCGAAGAUCGUACGCUAUCUAACACUUCGUGAUGAUCCAUGAACACCUAAUGCUCAUGAAUACAUAUUUAUUAUAGAUUAGUUUAAUAGAUGUCAGAAAGAUAAAAAAAAUUAUAGAAAUAGGUACUCGGGUAUCUCGCUUAUAUUGAACAAUGUUAUAAGUUAUUGACAUAAGAGUUAAAUAAACUUUGUUAUACAUUUUAGAAUUAAAACUUGUAUAUACUUAUAGUCACAAGAUACGAUAAAUUUUGAUUUUGAUUUUUGUUGUUCUAUUGUUUUAUAAGUAAAACAUAUUGACAUAAAACAAAUAUUCAAUAAAUAUUAAA
rnacentral:lncRNA from 1 species